GACGAACGCUGGCGGCGUGCUUAACACAUGCAAGUCGAACGGAAAGGCCCUGCUUUUGUGGGGUUCUCGAGUGGCGAACGGGUGAGUAACACGUGAGUAACCUGCCCUUGACUUUGGGAUAACUUCAGGAAACUGGGGCUAAUACCGGAUAGGAGCUCCUGCUGCAUGGUGGGGGUUGGAAAGUUUCGGCGGUUGGGGAUGGACUCGCGGCUUAUCAGCUUGUUGGUGGGGUAGUGGCUUACCAAGGCUUUGACGGGUAGCUGGCCUGAGAGGUUGACCGGCCACAUUGGGACUGAGAUACGGCCCAGACUCCUACGGGAGGCAGCAGUGGGGAAUAUUGCACAAUGGGCGGAAGCCUGAUGCAGCAACGCCGCGUGCGGGAUGACGGCCUUCGGGUUGUAAACCGCUUUCGCCUGUGACGAAGCGUGAGUGACGGUAAUGGGUAAAGAAGCACCGGCUAACUACGUG
rnacentral:rRNA from 1 species